CACUAAAAAUAAAUAUAUAUUUUUUUUAAUUUAAAAAUACAUUUAAUAUUAAAUAUUAAUGUAAUAAAUAUUUAACUUAUACUUAUUUGUAUAAAUAAAUCAUAUACAGCAGAUUAGGGCAAGACAAGCUUUUUGCUUCUGAGAAAAAGAAAGUUUUCAAAACACUUUUCCUCUCUAUUUUUGGUGGAUGUUGCUAUAUUUAACUGAUUUUCCUUCUGAAAAGAUUUGUGUUCUCAACAAGAAGCCAUAUUUCACUGUAAAUGAGUGACAGCUGUGACAAAGCUGGCAUUCCAGCAAAUGACCAUCAAUAGGUACUUUUUGUCUAUGUGAACUUUCCCCAAACAACCCAGACCUCCUUUUUCUGUCACAGUGCAUAUAUACAUGUGCAAAACGCAUCAGAAUGCUGCGACAGUAAAGGGGUUUUUGGAGUCCUGACAAUGCCAAAGGAAGGCAAAGAGGAAUGCAAGAAGUGCCCUUAGCACAGAAUUUAAUUAAGGCAUUCCCCAAAUAAAUAUACAUGAAGCAGGGCUAAAACUUAUCACAUCAGACAAGGAGAUGUCAAAAUGCACAUCAGUGAAGCCAGUAACAUCCUGAAGGUAGAUAGCCUCUUUCUUUCCAUUUGGAAGGAACUUAACACAUUUUCAUCCCAACCAAAGCAGAGUAUAAACAAUAGCGAGAAGCGAGACGACAAGCAGGUGAUGUGCCAGCUCUUGCAGCAUGUACAUCACCUAGUGGACAUGCUCUGCAUACUGAAGGGUGGAGAUCUGUCCUGCCGCAGCAUACUUCCUUCUCCCUUUAUCAGCACUUGUCCUGAUGCACAGGGUCCAGGUGGGAUUUAGCCUGCAUUCAGCCAAGCUGUGAUUGAUUUUGCAGACAGAGUAUGUGUACCAUCAGCACGCACUGUGCAGCAGCCACCUUUGGAGUGGGCCACCUGCAACGGGUGUGCAACCAGGAGGGGAUGGAAACCAAGCGUGGCCCAGGCUAACAUAUAAAAAACACUUGUAAAUUACAGGGGAAAUUGGGAAAACAUGGAUAAGUUCAUAAGUUAAAGCUAUCAAAUAUCCAGCUUAACUGUUUAGUUUUAUAUGAACGUUUACUGUGCCUCAGUCAAAAUAAGUGCUGGCGAAGUGAGCACUGUGGCAGUCACGGUGCCAAGGCCCAGCCCGGCCCCAGCCCAAACCAACAGGGAGAUCCUUGCAUGCUUUGUGCAGGAUACAGAGAGGUUUUCAGUAAUGGAAGUUGUCUCAAUGGAAAGACAUUGCUGCAAAACAGGCGCAGACUUUGAGCCUGUAGACUUUGAGCAGAGAACUGUUGGAGCAGAUUCCGGAUGGGGACAUGUGACAGUGUUUGACACCUGGAGCUGCGAGGCAAUGACAAUUAGGAGGGACAUACUUGCAUCUAUUUUUAAAUGGCACUGAGGUGAGUUGAUAUAGAAAUUCUGUUCCAAGAAUGUCAGUACAGAUGACUGCCCGUAAUAUAAUUAUUUGCAGCAAAAAGCAAGCCACGUUUCAGCUCAGAACAUUUGAUCUGUCUAUGUACAAUCAAAAUACAGUCAGUUUUGGACAGCAUUGCAGGAUAUUUCUGACUCCCAUGUGCAAUUCCGCUUCCACCAGCCUUCCUCUCACACCAUAUCACACAGCGAUACACGGUGUAAAUCCUUCACAUGUCAAAUCAGACAUGGCAGCUACAGUCUGCAGGAAAAAUCUGUGGGGUGUAAAGUUACCAAGUAUUUGUGAGGUCUGCUGUGAGCCUGCGUUUUUUUUUCUUCCUGAAACAUGAAUUCAUCUUUCAAAGAACAUGUUUAUUUUUCCUUUUGCACUAAAACAUACCUACUUUCUCCAGGAAAUAAAUAGAGAGAAGAAAAAGGUGUGGGUAAGAGAAGUGUGCUGAAGCCAGGCUUCACUCAUCAGCUAGGGAAUAUAAUGGCAAUAUUCGGUGGUUAUGAUAUUUUAUGACUUAGGAAUCAUGUCAAUGUAUUCCCCUGUGCGAUGGGGGAGCACAGUCACUGUGUGAGGGUCUGCAUCUACUGCUCUGUGAGGCAGGGCAGGCAUUCUGAAAGGCGACUUCCAUACUAUUCCCUUUACAGAAAAAGGAAAUGGGAGAUGUUAACUUGAUUCAGUUUGUAAGUGGAUGGUUAAUGGCUAAUAGCUUCCCAUAGUUUCUAAAUGAUGCUCCUUCCCUCUUUUAUAAGCUAAUACCUGAUCGUUAAAACAAAAGGUACAAGCCAGAGGUAACUGCUCUGGUGAGUUUUUGUUGUUGUUUUAAGCUGAGAUUUCAGAUUCAGGCUUUUGGUCCUCAACACUUCAGCACAACAUACUCUGUGCCUCCUUCAACAAUUCCUAGUCGCUUUUCAGCUCUCCAUACAACAACGUGGAUGAAACUGUCGCGCCACACAGAUUUUCAGGCUCAACCAAAGUCUCUGGGUCUGCAGCAGACAAAGGAAGUAUUGGAAAUUUGCUAUUUUUAGAUUAUUUUUAAAACGCCUUUUAAAAAUUGGCCAAUAAUUUUGGCCUCGAAAUGGACCUCUGUAAAGCAGAUAGCUUUUAAAUUAGAAAUCAAUGCCCGGCUUGUGGCUUCCCACCAGUUGUGUAAAUUGAAAUCACUGUAGAACAAAACAUGUCCUGAUGUAAUUGCUCCGUUGAGCUGAAUUCACUUCAAGGUAAACUUGACCUCUUAUGCUAUGCCAACCUGCUCAUUAAAGCACCGUGUACCUAAAUAUCUGUAGGAGAGAUAGAUUUAACCAGAUCCUAAAGCGUAUUUUAAACGUAUUUUCAAAACCAACCGAAUUUUCAAAGGCUGGCACAGGGGCGGACAAAUGAUGCUCAUAGAUGUCCUUUCCAGGAAUGCGUAUGCGCCUGUUGUGAGCACAUGGAAAGCUCCUUUGCAUUCAGUACAUCUAUUUCAGUGCCUAAAAAUGAGGCACUUGCGAGUUUGCAAGAGCAGGCCCAUAGCGCGCGCGUGUGUGUGUGCAUACAGUGAUAAACAAUGCCGGCUGAUGAGAAGUUCUGCUACACACCAGCGCUUUUAGUUAACAUUUGCCAUUAAAAAAGAGGGGAAAAAAAAAAAAAAAAGCUCUAAGCUAAAUGCCCAUCCAGCUCUGAGAGCUCCAACCAUUAGCCUGAAACCCAACAAAAACACACAGGUUUUUUUCCCCUGACUCUAUGAAGCCGAUGUGGGUUUUUUUCUUCAUGGAGGUGCCUUCUUUGUGUAGCGUCAACGUGACAGCAGAAGUACCGCUUCACUGUAGGUUGCAUCACCGACAAUGACAUUCUCUGAGAAACGUGGAAGGGAAUGACUGAUGAAUCGGAAAAUGUAUGGAUGCCUCCUGAAACGAUUAGGGAGCGAAGCGCGGAGCAAAUGGUGGCACACUCCUAUUAAUUGUAGCUGAUAGUAAU
ensembl:lncRNA